UUUUUUAGCUGUGUUGGGUCUUCGUUUCUGUGUGAGGGCUUUCUCUAGUUGUGGCAAGCGGGGGCCACUCUUCAUCGCGGUGCGCGGGCCUCUCACUAUCGCGGCCUCUCUUGUUGCAGAGCACAGGCUCCAGAUGUGCAGGCUCAGUAGUUGUGGCUCACGGGCCCAGUUGCUCCGCGGCAUAUGGGAUCUUCCCAGACCAGGGCUCGAACCCGUGUCCCCUGCAUUAGCAGGCAGAUUCUCAACCACUGCGCCACCAGGGAAGCCCCCGGGAAGCCCCCAGACCAGGCCCCUUUUCUGUCCUGUACCAUCUUGGAACCACUCGGCAUAGCUGUUGCAGCCCUUUCCUAUCCUGUGGAUAAAGUUGUCGGCGGAAACUUACCGGUUAAAUUUCCCGAGGUGCCAGUCAUUGUAACACACAAGUGCCCUUUCUAUGUCUUGUGUGGAGGACACAAGAUGUGUCCUCUACGGACCACAUUCCCUUCCAGCAGCAAUGCAGGAAUGGAUCAGAAGCCUGCAUCUCUCGUGCGUGGCUCCGGCCUUCCCUGACUCAGGGGGCCCUGUCCAGCGUCUCCAGGUGAGUCGGUCUGAGUCCCAGAGCGUGGAUGAACCAUGGUCUCCGAGCUGGGGAGGAGCCCCUGGGUCCCCAGAUCACCAGGGAGCAUGAGGAGCUCCAAGGGUCCCUUUCCAGAGGCCCCACUUCUCCAGAUGCUUCUCCCUGUGAGGAAGGAAGGCCCCUCACCUGUCCGAAGUCCACCUCAGGCCUGGACCUGAGCUUGGGAGACUAUUCAUGGCCAGGCCGGGACCGUGUGCCCUGGGGCCCAGGCUCUGGGCGUGUUGGCUGUUGGGAUGUUCUGAAUUCAGGGAGUGGGGCUGGGGGAGGGGUGACCUAGACUGUUCCCCUUGUGUCCCCAGCGGCCGUGGAGUCUCAUGAGAGCAAAGCAAAGACACUGAUAAUAAAUAUUAAAUGCCAAAAAUACCUUUUUAGAUGCAUGCAGCAAUUCUCUUUUUUUGCUAACCUCAGGACUUAUCCUGGAUGGCCUGUCAUUAGGUGGAAAGAGAAAGCCCCUUCACAGAGUUGAAAACAGUGACGGUGACAAUGACAGUUCUGUGAAAUCGAACUGGAGUGUUUUCUGGAACUAUCCCAGUUUUCAAGAUAUAUUGGAUAAAACCCAGAUGAAAAUUCUGCACAGUCUCUUUCACCAUGGAUGAGCAUUAAUCAGUGAGCUAGCAGCUGGCCGACCCAGCUACGCUUGGACUGCAGGCUCCAAGGUCACCCAGGGUCCAGGACAAGGAAGGUUCCUCUCGGCCCAGCCCCACAGCGGCACCUAAGGCCUCUUAGGGCAGCUCUGCUGACAUCCUAGUGGCCUACGCAAGUCACAUGGCUGAGCCCAGCGUCAGCGGAUCGAGAAAUAAACUGUUCCGGCCGCGGGAGAAGAGGCAGGAGCCGCGACUUUGGGGCAGCGAUCGGAUCCACCACGCCUUUCUUGCAGACUCUAUUGGGGUCAUAAAAGAUCCUUGUGAAAGCCAGGUUAUUUCCAGCAUGGGGCUUUCCUCACCCUGAAGGCAGAGCUCGUUGAAGGGUCAGCCGGUCAGCCGUGGAUCAUCACAUGUAAUUGUCAGGGGAGGUCACUAUGCGACUUUGGCACGUCACUAGGAAGGGUCAGAGCUGCCGCGCUGCAGUGACACAGCCCCUUCCAUUCCCACCACCAGUGAUGUGAAUACGGCCCUCGGCACUGACAUCUCCAGAAACGAGCCUUGUCUCAAUCCGGCCAGCAGUCCUUCCUGGGCCCCCAUUCCUUACUUCAAAAGACACAUUUUCGGGCUUUCCUGGUGGGGCAGUGGUUAAGAAUCCGCCUGCCAAUGCAGGGGACACGGGUUCGAGCCCUGGUCCGGGAAGAUCCCACAUGCCACGGAGCAUCUAAGCCCGUGUGCCACAACUACUGAGCCUGCGCUCUGGAGCCCGCGAGCCACAACUACUGAGCCCGCGCUCUUAGAGCCCGUGCUCCGCAAGGAGAAGCCACCGCAAUGAGAGGCCUGUGCACCACAACAAGGAGUGGCCCCUGCACACCGCAAC